rnacentral:lncRNA from 1 species
CCCAAAUUCAGGCUCAAAACCUUGCUUCACAACAACCAACACAAUCUGAAGCAACUUCACCUCCCCCAGAACAAACAACCAACAUACCUUCUGAACCUGAACCUGAAGCUGAAACUGAAUCUCUAACACUAGACUUAAACCCUCUUUACGCUUCACCCCAAAGAUCUGAACCUCAACCUGAAGCAGAACCUGAACCAGAACCUGAACCUGAACCUGAAGCUGAACCUGAACCUCUAACCUUAAAUCUCAGCCCUCCAACCUCUUCACCUCAAACCUCUGAACCUGACCUUUCUAUACCUACCCUUGAGGAAGCCAUAAUGCUAUUCGCAGG